UCUAGUAGCGCGCUCAAGACCCGAAGCGGAGUGAUCUAGCCAUGGGCAGGUUGAAGCGGAGGUAAGACUUCGUGGAGGACCGAACCCACCAGGGUUGAAAACCUGGGGGAUGACCUGUGGUUAGGGGUGAAAGGCCAAUCAAACUCCGUGAUAGCUGGUUCUCCCCGAAAUGCAUUUAGGUGCAGCGUCGUGUGUUUCUUGCCGGAGGUAGAGCACUGGAUAGGCGAUGGGCCCUACCGGGUUACUGACCUUAGCCAAACUCCGAAUGCCGGUAAGUGAGAGCGCGGCAGUGAGACUGUGGGGGAUAAGCUCCAUGGUCGAGAGGGAAACAGCCCAGAGCAUCGACUAAGGCCCCUAAGCGUACGCUAAGUGGGAAAGGAUGUGGAGUCGCAGAGACAACCAGGAGGUUGGCUUAGAAGCAGCCACCCUUGAAAGAGUGCGUAAUAGCUCACUGGUCUAGUGAUUCCGCGCCGACAAUGUAGCGGGGCUCAAGCGUACCGCCGAAGUCGUGUCAUUGCGAUAUAUACCCCCAACGGGGAUCGUGAUGGGUAGGGGAGCGUCGUGUGCCGGGUGAAGCAGCACCGGAAGGUAGUUGUGGACGGUUCACGAGUGAGAAUGCAGGCAUGAGUAGCGAUUCACACGUGAGAAACGUGUGCGCCGAUUGACUAAGGGUUCCUGGGUCAAGCUGAUCUGCCCAGGGUAAGUCGGGACCUAAGGCGAGGCCGACAGGCGUAGUCGAUGGAUAACCGGUUGAUAUUCCGGUACCCGCUGUGAAGCGUCAAACAUCGAAUCCAGUGAUGCUAAGCCCGUGAAGCCGCCGGCUGAGUCUUCGGACGAGGUCGGAGUGGUGGAGCCGGUGACCCGAGCUGGUAGUAGGUGAGUGAUGGGGUGACGCAGGAAGGUAGUCCAUCCCGGGCGGUGGUUGUCCCGGGGUAAGGGUGUAGG
rnacentral:ncRNA from 2 species